rnacentral:tRNA from 1 species
GCUGUGGGUUCAGCUGCAGGGCAUCUGCUUGGAAUGCAGAAGGUCCCAGGUUCAAUCCCCGACAUCAACA